rnacentral:rRNA from 1 species
GACGAACGCUGGCGGCGUGCUUAACACAUGCAAGUCGAACGGAAAGGCCCUGCUUUUGUGGGGUGCUCGAGUGGCGAACGGGUGAGUAACACGUGAGUAACCUGCCCUUGACUUUGGGAUAACUUCAGGAAACUGGGGCUAAUACCGGAUAGGAGCUCCUGCUGGAUGGUGGGGGUUGGAAAGUUUCGGCGGUUGGGGAUGGACUCGCGGCUUAUCAGCUUGUUGGUGGGGUAGUGGCUUACCAAGGCUUUGACGGGUAGCCGGCCUGAGAGGGUGACCGGCCACAUUGGGACUGAGAUACGGCCCAGACUCCUACGGGAGGCAGCAGUGGGGAAUAUUGCACAAUGGGCGGAAGCCUGAUGCAGCAACGCCGCGUGCGGGAUGACGGCCUUCGGGUUGUAAACCGCUUUCGCCUGUGACGAAGCGUGAGUGACGGUAAUGUGUAAAGAAGCACCGGCUAACUACGUG